rnacentral:rRNA from 1 species
AGCGAACGCUGGCGGCAGGCCUAACACAUGCAAGUCGAACGAACUCUUCGGAGUUAGUGGCGGACGGGUGAGUAACACGUGGGAACGUGCCUUUAGGUUCGGAAUAACUCAGGGAAACUGGUGCUAAUACCGAAUGUGCCCUUCGGGGGAAAGAUUUAUCGCCUUUAGAGCGGCCCGCGUCUGAUUAGCUAGUUGGAGAGGUAAAGGCUAACCAAGGCUACGAUCAGUAGCUGGUCUGAGAGGAUGACCAGCCACAUUGGGACUGAGGACACGGCCCAAACUCCUACGGGAGGCAGCAGUGGGGAAUCUUGCGCAAUGGGCGAAAGCCUGACGCAGCCAUGCCGCGUGGAUGAUGAAGGUCUUAGGAUUGUAAAAUCCUUUCACCGGUGAAGAUAAUGACUGUAGCCGGAGAAGAAGCCCCGGCUAACUUCGUGCCAGCAGCCGCCGUAAUAC